rnacentral:lncRNA from 1 species
UGCGGACAAGUCACAGGCAAACGGAAAGAAAAAUAAAGAAAAGAUUCUUGAUGGACCAGGACGCCCUCCCUGUGGAGCAUGAUUGUUGUAGGACAUGCAUCAGUUACACAAACAAGCACGUUAUAGAUGAACUAGCAUUGUACACAUGCUAUACACGUGGAAAGAAAUUUUUAUUAUUUAAAAAAUUUUGAUGGCCGGCAG